GUGAGAAAUUAGAUCCCCCACGGGACACUGGAGAAAGCCUGAAGUUUUCAUCUUCAAAGAAAAAACAUCAAAAGGAAAAUGAUGUUCAAGCUAUUACUCAGUCUGCUCCUCCUGUUGGUUGGUGACACUUUGCAGUCAACUCCAACACUGACGACCUCAAAUUCUAUGGCAGCUUCUAAGCAGAUCAGCACAAAUUCUGAGACAACCCCAAAUUCCAAGACAACUCCAGAGCUCCAAACAUCUCUGGAUCCCAAGACAACUUCAAAUCCCAGGACAACUCCAGAGCUCCAAACAUCUCUGGAUCCCAAGACAACUUCAAAUCCCAAGACAACUCCAGAGCUCCAAACAUCUCUGGAUCCCAAGACAACUUCAAAUCUCAAGACAAUUAAUUGUACAGAAGUGGCCCCAAAGACAGCCACAACCACGAACACGGAAAGCGGCGGCACCACAAUGAAUGCAGUGGACAGCACUCACUUUCUUUUCUAUGUAAUAUUUUUGAUGUUUUGUGUACACUCAGGCUGAAGUGGACUUGGACUGUUUGCAUUGCUAUCUCAGUUCACUAUAUCUGCUGAAUGACAAGCACACUAGGAAAAUUAAAUUUAUUUCAACUUACUUCUGAGUUAAUUAUCAUAUCCUAGUUCAAUCUGGUUGUUUGCAAAUUUUAAUUGUGUAAGCUUAAUUAUUACCUUAAUAUGACGGUUUCCUUCCUUAUAAAUGCUAAAAAAGGCAAAAUACCACGUUUGCCUUUUAAAUGUUUGCAAAACUGAGUUGAAACUCAGGUUUUUACAUUAAAGGUGUAACAGAAGAAA